UACGUAGGUCCCGAGCGUUGUCCGGAUUUAUUGGGCGUAAAGCGAGCGCAGGUGGUUUAUUAAGUCUGGUGUAAAAGGCAGUGGCUCAACCAUUGUAUGCAUUGGAAACUGGUAGACUUGAGUGCAGGAGAGGAGAGUGGAAUUCCAUGUGUAGCGGUGAAUGCGUAGAUAUAUGGAGGAACACCGGUGGCGAAAGCGGCUCUCUGGCCUGUAACUGACACUGAGGCUCGAAAGCGUGGGGAGCAAACAGG
rnacentral:rRNA from 1 species